GGAGGGGGACCCUACCUCUAAAAUGCAUCUCUCUGGGGGACAUGACACCAAUGCUAAGAGCCCAAUCAAGCAGGAGAGACCAGCCUCCCCUGUACCCAGCUGUGUGUCCAUGAAGAGUGACCGGUCUAUGCUGCAACCUAUAGCGUUUAGAGAGGGGAGACUUUUCUACUGAACAAAGUGGAUGGUCUACUCUGUUAGAGGAUCAGUA